CAGAAGCGGCUACAGUGGCUGCUGUUGGCAGAUGGCUGCUAUAGUCAGGGGACCACUGUGGUCAAGUGGCUGCUGUUGGCAAAUGGCUGCUAUAGUCAGGUGACGACUGUGGUCGAGUGGCUGCUGUUGGCAGAUGGCUGCUAUAGUCAGGUGACCACUGUGGUCAAGUGGCUGCUGUUGGCAGAUGGCUGCUAUAGUCAGGUGACCACUGUGGUCGAGUGGCUGCUGUUGGCAGAUGGCUGCUAUAGUCAGGUGACCACUGUGGUCAAGUGGCUGCUGUUGGCAAAUGGCUGCUAUAGUCAGGUGACCACUGUGGUCGAGUGGCUGCUGUUGGCAGAUGGCUGCUAUAGUCAGGUGACCUCUGUGGUCAAGUGGCUGUUGUUGGCAGAUGGCUGCUAUAGUCAGGUGACCUCUGUGGUUUAGUGGCUGCUGUUGGCAGAUGGCUGCUAUAGUCAGGUGACCACUUUUGUCAGUUAAUAUUAUCCCUGUCCUUGAACACUAAAAGCUUAUAAAACCAUCUUUGUACACAAACAGCACAAACACGUCGUUUUUAUUCAAACAACCACGAGCUUAGCAUAACUAAAAUAAAACUUUUAACAAGAGGUGCUUUUGUUAAGAGUUCAUUGUUUAUCUGUCAUUUAUUAAUUGGAUUGCAUGUCAAAUUGAUUUGUAUGCUUGAGAGCUUAGCUAAAGAGUGAUCUGAAAAAUUAUUUUCAAAUCAAUAUUUAAUAAUGUAAUUACUACCUUGAUGUUUUCCACUUGUAUGCCAUUGUCUCUGGGUGAGAAAAUCUGCGGCCAGUCCGGGACUUGAACCCGGGACACCUUGAUAACAGGGUGAGUGUUCUCCCAACUGAGCUAACCGGGCUGCCACACAUUUUCUUCCCUAAUGUGACCAAGUUCAGACCGUGACACAAUCAUUGAAUUAGUGAUUAUAAUUUAAAACAUUCUCUGAUGUAAUUUAUUUUGAAGAUUUCCUGUAAUUAUCCCAGUAGAACAAACCUUGUACUUUUUUCUCACAGUUUGACACAUUUAUUAUAUCAAAAGCAGUUACCACAAUCAUUUCUUUCACUGCGCAAUAGACACACAAUCAAUGCUAUGACGUUGCAGGUGUGAGAACGCUACGCCCAGAGAUUUGAUCAUUACUUUUGCACCGCAAAAUGACUGCCUCUUGACAACUGAACUCAAUUGAUAAAAGUCUUUCGACUUGAAAUAUACUUGUUGAUGGGUUGUAAUGGCAGGUUGAGAGUUAAUCCUUGUGUAAUAAUGACUUUGUUAGGAAGAAUCUAGAAAGACAGCUUGACCUGAGUGACCCCUUAACUCAGGGGACAAAUAAAUCACGUUGGACUCUAUUUUAUCGUUUGGUUAUUGAUAUAUUUUAUCGUUUGGUUAUUGAUAUUCUUACUUUGACACUGCUACCUUUAAGUACUGAUUGAUGUGUUUAAAAAAAAUUGUCACAUGUUUACAUUUCCAACCCACAUGUAAAUGUUCACAUCUGCAUGAUUGUCAUAUU